ACAUCAAUAAAAGCGCCAGCACAAGUGAGUGAUACAACCAUACUCUAUAUUUUAAAACAGAAAAUAUAUGAGGGUUAUUGAUGUCGCUUGUAGACGAGGAGGAUAGUGAUCGAACUUUUUCGGCGGAUGCUAUCCCGGAUGUGGCUCAUUCGUUAGCUUAUUAAUUAAAUCAGCAAGGUGACUUGUUGGACAAAGUUAAUAAGAUCGCCAACA
rnacentral:ncRNA from 2 species